AGUCUGAUGGAGCAACGCCGCGUGAGUGAAGAAGGUUUUCGGAUCGUAAAACUCUGUUGUUGGAGAAGAACACGUUUGAGAGUAACUGUUCAGACGUUCACGGUAUCCAACCAGAAAGCCACGGCUAACUACGUGCCAGCAGCCGCGGUAAUACGUAGGGGGCGAGCGUUGUCCGGAAUGACUGGGCGUAAAGGGCGUGUAGGCGGCCUGAUAAGUCUGGAGUGAAAGUCCUGCUUUUAAGGUGGGAAUUGCUUUGGAUACUGUCGGGCUUGAGUGCGGAAGAGGUAAGUGGAAUUCCCAGUGUAGCGGUGAAAUGCGUAGAGAUUGGGAGGAACACCAGUGGCGAAGGCGACUUACUGGGCCGUAACUGACGCUGAGGCGCGAAAGCGUGGGGAGCGAACA
rnacentral:rRNA from 1 species